rnacentral:misc_RNA from 1 species
UAGUCCUUCACUUUUCAUUCCAUCAAUUAAUGGGUCUCUCAAUUCCGUUCGUGAUAUGACAAGCUAAAUAUGUUGUUUGCUUUUCAACCCUUGUUCACUUACCCCCUUCUGCUCUUUGCUGACUUCUUCCUUGAUAAUUGUAGUCGGCUUUGAAGCAGGCGUUGUUCCUUUAAACCUCGAAGGCUUGGGCCCUCCAGACACCACAAUAAGCACCACUGCCACCUCUAUCCUUCCUCUCCAUUUUCCGUUUGCCACCUC